AGUGGGAUAGCUGGGUCAAAUGGUGGUUCUAUUCCAAGUUUUCCAAGGAAUCUCCAUAUUGCUUUCCUUAUUGGUUGUACCAAUUUGCAGUCCCACCAGCAGU
rnacentral:pre_miRNA from 1 species